rnacentral:rRNA from 1 species
AUUCCAGCUCCAAUAGCGUAUAUUAAAGUUGUUGCAGUUAAAAAGCUCGUAGUUGGAUUUCUGCCAGGGUGCCAAUGUCCGCCGAAGUGCGUGCGCAGCGGCGCCCUCGCAUCCUUCUGUUAACGCCUCUCGGCAUUUACUUGCCGGUGGUGGGCUCAGAUAAUUUACCUUGAGAAAAUUAGAGUGUUUCAGGCAGGCUAGGCCGGAAUACAUUAGCAUGGAAUAAUGGAAUAGGACUACGGUCUCGUUGUUGGUUUGAGGGACUGGAGUAAUGAUUAAUAGGGAUAGUUGGGGGUAUUCGUAUUCAAUUGUCAGAGGUGAAAUUCUUGGAUUUAUGGAAGACGAACUACUGCGAAAGCAUUUACCAAGGAUGUUUUCAUUG